rnacentral:rRNA from 1 species
AGCGAACGCUGGCGGCAGGCCUAACACAUGCAAGUCGAACGAACCUUUCGGGGUUAGUGGCGGACGGGUGAGUAACACGUGGGAACGUGCCUUUAGGUUCGGUAUAACUCAGGGAAACUUGUGCUAAUACCGAAUGUGCCCUUCGGGGGAAAGAUUAAUCGCCUUUAGAGCGGCCCGCGUCUGAUUAGCUAGUUGGUUGAGGUAAUGGCUCACCAAGGCGACGAGCAGUAGCUGGUCUGAGAGGAUGAUCAGCCACAUUGGGACUGAGACACGGCCCAAACUCCUACGGGAGGCAGCAGUGGGGAAUCUUGCGCAAUGGGCGAAAGCCUGAAGCAGCCAUGCCGCGUGAAUGAUGAAGGUCUUAGGAUUGUAAAAUUCUUUCACCGGGGACGAUAAGGAGGGUACCCGGAGAAGAAGCCCCGGCAAACUUCGU